rnacentral:tRNA from 1 species
AAAUAAGAAGUGAACCAUCACACCCAAUUUCGACUUGGGCCUUGAGUUAUAUCCUUAUUUA